CCUACGGGAGGCAGCAGUGAGGAAUAUUGGUCAAUGGGCGUAAGCCUGAACCAGCCAAGUCGCGUGAGGGAUGACGGUUCUAUGGAUUGUAAACCUCUUUUAUAAGGGAAUAAAGUGUGGGACGUGUCCUAUUUUGUAUGUACCUUAUGAAUAAGCAUCGGCUAACUCCGUGCCAGCAGCCGCGGUAAUACGGAGGAUCCGAGCGUUAUCCGGAUUUAUUGGGUUUAACGGGUGCGUAGGCGGCCGUUUAAGUCAGCGGUGAAAGUUUGGGGCUCAACCAUAGAAUUGCCGUUGAAACUGGGUGGCUAGAGUAGGUGUGAGGCAUGCGGAAUGCGUGGUGUAGCGGUGAAAUGCAUAGAUAUCACGCAGAACUCCGAUUGCGAAGGCAGCCUGCCAGGGCAUGACUGACGCUGAGGCACGAAAGCGUGGGGAUCGAACAGGAUUAGAUACCCCAGUAGUC
rnacentral:rRNA from 1 species